CAGGUGGUGCAUGGUCGUCGUCAGCUCGUGUCGUGAGAUGUUGGGUUAAGUCCCGCAACGAGCGCAACCCUUAUUGCUAGUUACCAUCAUUGAGUUGGGGACUCUAGCGAGACUGCCAGCGAUAAGCUGGAGGAAGGUGGGGAUGACGUCAAAUCAUCAUGCCCCUUAUGACCUGGGCUACAAACGUGAUACAAUGGCUGGAACAAAGGGAGGCGAAGGGGUGACCUGGAGCGAAACCCAAAAUACAGUCUCAGUUCGGAUUGAAGUCUGCAACUCGACUUCAUGAAGUCGGAAUCGCUAGUAAUCGUGGAUCAGAAUGUCACGGUGAAUACGUUCCCGGGUCUU
rnacentral:rRNA from 1 species